UAAACUGCCCUUUUCAGGGCAACCCAUUAAAAAUAAAAUUUAGUGU
rfam:Ciona savignyi cont_60042, whole genome shotgun sequence.